rnacentral:rRNA from 1 species
CCUACGGGCGGCUGCAGUGGGGAAUAUUGGACAAUGGGCGAAAGCCUGAUCCAGCCAUGCCGCGUGUGUGAAGAAGGCCUUCGGGUUGUAAAGCACUUUCAGUGGGGAAGAAAGCCUUGGGGCUAAUACCCUCGAGGAAGGACAUCACCCACAGAAGAAGCACCGGCUAACUCCGUGCCAGCAGCCGCGGUAAUACGGAGGGGUGCGAGCGUUAAUCGGAAUUACUGGGCGUAAAGCGCGCGUAGGCGGUCUGAUAAGCCGGUUGUGAAAGCCCCGGGCUCAACCUGGGAACGGCAUCCGGAACUGUCAGGCUAGAGUGCAGGAGAGGAAGGUAGAAUUCCCGGUGUAGCGGUGAAAUGCGUAGAGAUCGGGAGGAAUACCAGUGGCGAAGGCGGCCUUCUGGACUGACACUGACGCUGAGGUGCGAAAGCGUGGGUAGCAAACAGGAUUAGAUACCCCGGUAGUC